ACCAAAGGAGAUAAGCUUCCUCAUCUGCGUUUUGAGUGCAAGCACAUGCUGAAAGUGGGAGGAGGGUUUUGCUGAGAUGACAGAAGCAUAUGUGCAGAUAAUGUCUAUUCUUGCAUCUAGCUCUCUUCUGCAAAAUACCAGUGAUCAAGAAGAUACUGGAGCUUGCAUUGUAGAUUGUUACAUUUAUGGAAUUGAGAACAAGGAUAAAAAUGUAAGUAAAAUGAUAAAAAAGUCAAGAAGGGGAGAGAGCAAAGACCUGCUUACGAGCCUUUACCUUGAAGACAUGGCCAUGCAUGCCAGAGGGGUGAAAGGAAUCCCUUGGAGAAGGCAGGAUGGCAAGAAGCCCUCUUCAACCUCUGGAUGUUCAGCACACAAAUCCCUGAGAAGGCCAGGAUUUCUUGAGAAUACUUUCUUCCAUUAAUUUUUACAGCAAAUAAAGUAGUUGAAGAACGUGGAAA